AGAGUGGCGAACGGGUGAGGAACACGUAAGAAUCUGCCCCUCGGUCGGGGACAACUCUUGGAAACGAGAGCUAAUACCCGAUACGCUGUGGAGUGAAAGAAUUUCGCCGAGGGAUGAUCUUGCGUCUGAUUAGCUAGUUGGUGUGGUAAUGGCAUACCAAGGCAACGAUCAGUAGCUGGUCUGAGAGGAUGAACAGCCACAUUGGAACUGAGACACGGUCCAAACUCC
rnacentral:rRNA from 1 species